GAAAAGAGAGGUAUGCGCCAACAUACCUCUCUAGUGUAGAGCGGUUUAAGACGGUGACCUUUUGGAUUAUUUAAAAAUAACCGUACUUGGUCAAAGUAGACGGUUAUUUUUUCUUGUCUUCUUUAACAGCUUUUAGGAUUCCGAAGAUUAACGUUGCGAUUCUUGUUGCAAAGCGCAUGUUCCUGUGCGCUUGCCGCCGCCAUAACUUCUCUACGCUUAGAGUAUACUAUGUAAAACAAAAAAUAAUUAGUUUCCAAUAUAUUUUUUAGGCAAUUGUACUAUAAUGGUAAUGAAAAGAGAGCUAUGCGCUAACAUACCUCUCUGAUGUAGAGCCGUUACUAACGGUGACAAAAAUUAAUAUUUUUGAAAUGACCGUCUAACUAGGCAAAGUUAAGCAGCGCCCCUUUCAUUAAGGGGCGCUGCUUUUU
rnacentral:misc_RNA from 1 species